rnacentral:rRNA from 1 species
UCCAGACUCCUACGGGAGGCAGCAGUGGGGAAUAUUGCACAAUGGGGGAAACCCUGAUGCAGCGACGCCGCGUGAGCGAAGAAGUAUUUCGGUAUGUAAAGCUCUAUCAGCAGGGAAGAAAUUGACGGUACCUGAGUAAGAAGCUCCGGCUAAAUACGUGCCAGCAGCCGCGGUAAUACGUAUGGAGCAAGCGUUAUCCGGAUUUACUGGGUGUAAAGGGAGCGUAGGCGGCCUGCCAAGUCUGAUGUGAAAUGCCGGGGCUCAACCCCGGGGCUGCAUUGGAAACUGACAGGCUGGAGUGUUGGAGAGGCAGGCGGAAUUCCUAGUGUAGCGGUGAAAUGCGUAGAUAUUAGGAGGAACACCAGUGGCGAAGGCGGCCUACUGGACGGUGACUGACGCUGAGGCUCGAAAGCGUGGGGAGCAAACAGGAUUAGAUACCCUCGUA